rnacentral:lncRNA from 1 species
AAGACAGUUAACUAGUUUCAAUAUUUACAUUGUCGUAAUAAAUGGAUCUUUUCUUUCGUUAAAACUGAAUCGCUUUAAUAUUUACAUUGUGGUAAUAAAAUGGAUCUUUUUUUUGUGUGUUAAAACUGAAUCGCUUUAAUAUUAGUAGUUCUCGAUAAAAAAACCAUACAAAAAUAAGAAAUUUGUGUUUUCUACUAUUUCUUACCACUACUUUUGUUUUUUUGUUUGUCAACUCAUUGCCACUAUACAUUUACCACUUCUAACUAUGUAAGCAUAUCAGAGCUAUCUUUUAUCACCAUUACAAUAUUUUUUUCAGGGAUCGAAUGCUCUCUAAAGCAACAUUAAUGCGAAAUAUGUCACUAUAUCAGAUAUCUUAAUAUGAUCGAAGUUGACGUAUUCCACGAGACUGAGUCAUGUAGAAUGAUAAAUAACGAAAAAAAUUAGGAGGUAAAUUAGAUGCGAGAUUCGUUUUAGAAUAUAGAAGUACAAAAUAAAGGAGAGGAGUACACGAAACCAAACAAAACAAGAGUGUUAAUUAAUUUGGUUUAAUUAAGGGGGAGAUAUUGGUGACGACAACAUGGAGUUGGGCCCUUUGGCUUUUUGCUUUCCAAGCAGUAAUGAUGAAGAAGUGAACACUUCUAUUGACAACGAAUAAAGAUUAUUCAAAACAAAAAAUAGUUAUAAUAUUUUUUGUUUAAUAAUUUCUCUAGAGAAAAAGGAAUUUGUCUCUAUGUCAUAAUCUUCAUAAAAAGCAUUGCCAAAUCUUAUGGCCACAUGGACGGUGUUAGCCUUUAUACCCUACUCGCUACUCUCAUCUAUUGCCUUCACAUUUUCUUCAUUAUUACAUCUCUUAGCUGUGACAAAAAAAAUGAUGUAACUUUUGUAUAAAUUGUCAUCAUUAUGGAUUUGUUCAUAAAAUAGGUUGAGCCUAUUAAUGCUCACGGAUC